rnacentral:lncRNA from 1 species
CAAUGCUUGGUAGAUGAGGUAGAGAGCUUUCUUGUCUCUCUUUCUUGAAUACUUCACACCAUCCUUUUGAGUUUGGGAUAAUGUAGAUUCAUCUCGGGGCUCAUUAUAGCCUUUGUCUACAAUAUCCCAAACAUCAUGUGCACCUAGGAGAGCCUUCAUCUUGAUACUCCAAUUAUCAUAGUUGAUCUUGUUGAGCAUAGGAACUUGGAAGGAUGCAACACCAUUUGCCAUGAUUUUAGAAAAUUUUGGUUAGAAUCUUGUGGCUCUGAUACCACUUUGUUGGAAGAGGAUUGCUAUUAAUAUUUGAAGGGAGGUUAUUAGGCUAAGGGAAUUUUGGAAGAGUAGAAAGAUUUUGGAGAAGAGAAACUUUUAUUACUCAAACUUGUUUUUGAUUUUUUUUUGGCUUGAUACUCAUAGUUGCUCUUGUUGAGCAUAGGAACUUGGAAGGAUGCAACACCAUUUGCCAUGAUUUUAGAAAUUUUUGGUUAGAAUCGUGUGGCUCUGGUACCACUUUGUUGGAAGAGGAUUGCUAUUAAUAUUUGGAGGGAGGCUUUUAGGCAAAGGGAAUUUUGGAAGAGUAGAAAGAUUUGGAGAAGAGAAACUUUUAUUACUCAAACUUGUUUUUGAUUCUUUUGGCUUGAUAUGUUGUGUGUUGUGUGUUAUACAAAUGCNNNN